rnacentral:snRNA from 1 species
CUCUGCAGAUUUGGCCUAAU